rnacentral:rRNA from 1 species
UACGGGGGGAGCAAGCGUUGUUCGGAUUUACUGGGCGUAAAGGGCGCGUAGGCGGCCACCGCAAGUCAAUUGUGAAAUCUCCGGGCUCAACCCGGAACGGUCAACUGAUACUGCGGGGCUAGAGUGCAGAAGGGGCAACUGGAAUUCUCGGUGUAGCGGUGAAAUGCGUAGAUAUCGAGAGGAACACCUGCGGCGAAGGCGGGUUGCUGGGCUGACACUGACGCUGACAGCGCGAAAGCUAGGGGAGCGAACAGG